AAUGAACGCUGGCGGCGCGCCUAAUACAUGCAAGUCGAGCGAGAAGACGUAGCAAUACGUUUGUAAAGCGGCGAACGGGUGAGGAAUACAUGGGUAACCUACCCUCGAGUGGGGAAUAACUAGCCGAAAGGUUAGCUAAUACCGCGUACGCUUCUUGGACUUCGGUUCAGGGAGGAAAGCGAUGCCGAGGGUAUCGCGCUCUUGGAUGGGCUCAUGUCCUAUCAGCUUGUUGGGAGGUAACGGCUCACCAAGGCUUCGACGGGUAGCUGGUCUGAGAGGACGAUCAGCCACACUGGCACUGCGACACGGGCCAGACUCCUACGGGAGCAGCAGUAAGGAUAUUGCGCAAUGGGCGAAAGCCUGACGCAGCGACGCCGCGGUGGGGGAU
rnacentral:rRNA from 1 species